rnacentral:rRNA from 1 species
UGUAUAAUGGGUCAGCGACUUAUAUUCUGUAGCAAGGUUAACCGAAUAGGGGAGCCGAAGGGAAACCGAGUCUUAACUGGGCGUUAAGUUGCAGGGUAUAGACCCGAAACCCGGUGAUCUAGCCAUGGGCAGGUUGAAGGUUGGGUAACACUAACUGGAGGACCGAACCGACUAAUGUUGAAAAAUUAGCGGAUGACUUGUGGCUGGGGGUGAAAGGCCAAUCAAACCGGGAGAUAGCUGGUUCUCCCCGAAAGCUAUUUAGGUAGCGCCUCGUGAAUUCAUCUCCGGGGGUAGAGCACUGUUUCGGCAAGGGGGUCAUCCCGACUUACCAACCCGAUGCAAACUGCGAAUACCGGAGAAUGUUAUCACGGGAGACACACGGCGGGUGCUAACGUCCGUCGUGAAGAGGGAAACAACCCAGACCGCCAGCUAAGGUCCCAAAGUCAUGGUUAAGUGGGAAACGAUGUGGGAAGGCCCAGACAGCCAGGAUGUUGGCUUAGAAGCAGCCAUCAUUUAAAGAAAGCGUAAUAGCUCACUGGUCGAGUCGGCCUGCGCGGAAGAUGUAACGGGGCUAAACCAUGCACCGAAGCUGC